rnacentral:rRNA from 1 species
CCCUUAGAUGUUCUGGGCCGCACGCGCGCUACACUGAAUGGAUCAACGUGUUUUCCCUUCCCGAGAGGGACGGGUAACCCGCUGAACCCCAUUCGUGGUAGGGAUCGGAGCUUGCAAUUGUUCUCCGUGAACCAGGAAUUCCCAGUAAGCGCAAGUCAUAAGCUUGCUUGAUUACGUCCCUGCCCUUUGUACACACCGCCCGUCGCUCCUACCGAUUGAAUGGUCCGGUGAAGCGUUCGGACCGUGGCCUUUGGACGGUUCGCCGUCUGUUGGCUGCGGGAAGUUCGUUAAACCUUAUCAUUUAGAGGAAGGAGAAGUCGUANCA